ACUUUUGUGGUGUAUUAAAACACAUUGCAUUUUCGUUGCAAAACUAAAGAAUUUUUCUUUCUAAAGUA
rnacentral:tRNA from 1 species